AUUGAACGCUGGCGGCAUGCCUAACACAUGCAAGUCGAACGGCAGCACGGUCUGGUUUACCAGAUGGGUGGCGAGUGGCGAACGGGUGAGUAAAGCGUAGGAAUAUACCUUAAAGAGGGGGAUAACCUGGGGAAACUCAGGCUAAUACCGCGUAAACUCUGCGGAGCAAAGCUGGGGACCGAAAAGCCUGGCGCUUUAAGAAUAGCCUGCGUCCGAUUAGCUAGUUGGUGGGGUAAAGGCUCACCAAGGCGACGAUCGGUAGCUGGUCUGAGAGGACGAACAGCCACACUGGGACUGAGACACGGCCCAGACUCCUACGGGAGGCAGCAGUGGGGAAUAUUGGACAAUGGGGGGAACCCUGAUCCAGCAAUGCCGCGUGUGUGAAGAAGGCCUGAGGGUUGUAAAGCACUUUCAGUGGGAGGAGGAUUACUAGGUUAAGAGCCAGGUAAUUGGACGUUACCCACAGAAGAAGCACCGGCUAACUCCGUG
rnacentral:rRNA from 1 species